UCCCAGCCUGGCAGAGCAGGCUGAUGGAGCAGUGAGGGCACCAGCGAUAAUGUUCUGUGAUUCUCUACUGCACUCAGGACCUGCAGAGACACACUCAGCCUCUCCACUUGAGCUCCACUGGCUCCCAUGGUGCACUUUGGCUCUACCAGGCAUGCUCUUGCCUUAAGACAUUUGUGCUCACUGUCCUCUCUACCUGGAUCCCUCUUACCCUAGAGAGCCUUCUGACAGGUUUCACUCUCUCAUUUCUUCACAUCUUUGCUCUAAAGUAACUUCAUCUUCAUGAACUUUUCCCUGACCACCCUACUAUAAAUUGCAACCCUCCCCACUCUUCAUGCUAAUAUAGUCUUACUAUGGCGGCCAUUGCCGUCUACCUUCCUACGUAACUUACUAAUGAGAAGGACACCAUUGGCACUGCAUUCCCCAUUGAAUGAUGCCCCCUGGAACACAGCUUUAUAGACUUCAAUGUGAAUACUGCCCCCUAGAAUUGUGCAAUUUGGCAGUACAGAGCCUAAUAUUUGUUGAAAAGAGGCCACAGGCGAUCCACUCUGUCUGUUCAUCUUCCUGAUCCAGUGGCCUCUGAAAUCCUUCUGGCGACUUCUAAUUGUAAACCUUCUCAUACUUGAAACCUUCCCUGUGUCAGGAUGAGGAAGCUGGUAUGACGAGUGGGCUGAUUCCGUUUGUUUGCAGUUUAUUAUCAAACUUGGACAUCUUAUUUCAGAGAGCUAUAAGAAAGGCACUUGAUAAGCUGUCUGCAGCAGUUUCUCCUGAGGGGUCUGCCAAAAACGGCGUGGGAUUUCAGGGUCUGGUUUUCUUUGCCUUCUCCAGGUCUGUUACAUUUCCCAGAAUGGUUCCCAGUGCUGGAGAUAAUUCCUUUUCGGAGAACCUACAUUUCUCACCUGCUGAUUGCAAUUAGCCACUACCAGCUGGGGCCUGGUGUGCAGCUGAAAAGCUAACACGAAGUGGAGACCACGCGGAACCCAGACAGGGCAUAGGAUGUGCAUAAAUAAGCAACGGUGCCUGUGUUUAUGAGAUGCUCCUGUGAAUUCAAGGCUUCCCCACCCUCUGCAUAACUCUCCCUCUUCUGGCUUUGUGCUGCACACCCCUCCCCUAACUAUAUUUUUUGUCUCUGGUUUCGUAGCCUACACUUAACAUCACAGUCACGAAUUUACCACUAAGUACAUUUUGUUAGGCAAUAAACAGCCUUGGAAGAAAAAUGAAAUCCGA